GACGAACGCUGGCGGCGUGCCUAAUACAUGCAAGUCGAGCGGACCGGAUUGGGGCUUGCCUUGAUUCGGUCAGCGGCGGACGGGUGAGUAACACGUGGGCAACCUGCCCGCAAGACCGGGAUAACUCCGGGAAACCGGAGCUAAUACCCGAUCACACCGAAGACCGCAUGGUCAUCGGUUGAAAGGCGGCCCUUGGGCUGUCACCUGCGGAUGGGCCCGCGGCGCAGUAGCUAGUUGGUGAGGUAACGGCGCACCAAGGCGACGAUGCGUAGCUGGCCUGAGAGGGUGACCGGCCACACUGGGACUGAGACACGGCCCAGACUCCUACGGGAGGCAGCAGUAGGGAAUCUUCCGCAAUGGGCGAAAGCCUGACGGAGCGACGCCGCGUGAGCGAAGAAGGCCUUCGGGUCGUAAAGCUCUGUUGUGAGGGACGAAGGAGCGCCGUUCGAAGAGGGCGGCGCGGUGACGGUACCUCACGAGAAAGCCCCGGCUAACUACGUGCCAGCCGCCGCAGUAA
rnacentral:rRNA from 1 species